GAAUUCGCAAUGACUGAGACAGUAACUUGCUGAUGGGUUAAGAGACUUGGUGGUUGGUGCAAACCAAGCGAAGUCAGUAAGUGAACAUCACUCAGCCGCUGGCGGUCGAAAUAAGUAGUCCCGCCUGGUUUGUCCACCAUUAACUGGACCGCGGAUCAAUAUUGGUUCGCUUGAGGUGGAUUUAUCCAUGAAUAAAGGUGGUACCACGAUUUUAUCGUCCUUUAG
rnacentral:ncRNA from 1 species